rnacentral:rRNA from 1 species
UCGAUUAGUUUGAUCAUGGCUCAGAAUCAACGCUGGCGGCGUGCCUAACACAUGCAAGUCGAACGCGGUUACCCCGCAAGGGGUGACUGAGUGGCGAACGGGUGAGUAACACGUGGGUGACCUGCCUUCGAGUGGGGGAUAACAUCCCGAAAGGGGUGCUAAUACCGCAUGACAUCCUGCCUUUGAAGAGGUGGAGAUUAAAGCUGGGGAUCGUAAGACCUGGCGCUUGAAGAGGGGCUCGCGUCCGAUUAGCUAGUUGGUGGGGUAACGGCCUACCAAGGCUACGAUCGGUAGCCGGCCUGAGAGGGCGGACGGCCACACUGGGACUGAGACACGGCCCAGACUCCUACGGGAGGCAGCAGUGGGGAAUUGUUCGCAAUGGGCGAAAGCCUGACGACGCAGCGCCGCGUGGAGGACGAAGAUCUUCGGGUCGUAAACUCCUUUCGAUCGGGACGAAUGGCUGGUGGGUGAAUAGCCCGUCGGAAUGACGGUACCGAGAGAAGAAGCCCCGGCUAACUCCGUGCCAGCAGCCGCGGUAAUACGGGGGGGGCAAGCGUUGUUCGGAAUUACUGGGCGUAAAGGGCGCGUAGGCGGCCUACUAAGUCGGACGUGAAAUCCCUCGGCUCAACCGAGGAACUGCGUCCGAUACUGGCGAGGCUUGAAUUCGGGAGAGGGAUGUGGAAUUCCAGGUGUAGCGGUGAAAUGCGUAGAUAUCUGGAGGAACA